rnacentral:rRNA from 1 species
GCCUUUUGUAGAAUGAACCGGCGAGUUACGAUUUGAUGCAAGGUUAAGCAGUAAAUGUGGAGCCGUAGCGAAAGCGAGUCUGAAUAGGGCGUUUAGUAUUUGGUCGUAGACCCGAAACCAGGUGAUCUACCCUUGGUCAGGUUGAAGUUCAGGUAACACUGAAUGGAGGACCGAACCGACUUACGUUGAAAAGUGAGCGGAUGAACUGAGGGUAGCGGAGAAAUUCCAAUCGAACCUGGAGAUAGCUGGUUCUCUCCGAAAUAGCUUUAGGGCUAGCCUCAAGUGAUGAUUAUUGGAGGUAGAGCACUGUUUGGACGAGGGGCCCCUCUCGGGUUACCGAAUUCAGACAAACUCCGAAUGCCAAUUAAUUUAACUUGGGAGUCAGAACAUGGGUGAUAAGGUCCGUGUUCGAAAGGGAAACAGCCCAGACCACCAGCUAAGGUCCCAAAAUAUAUGUUAAGUGGAAAAGGAUGUGGCGUUGCCCAGACAACUAGGAUGUUGGCUUAGAAGCAGCCAUCAUUUAAAGAGUGCGUAAUAGCUCACUAGUCGAGUGACACUGCGCCGAAAAUGUACCGGGGCUAAACAUAUUACCGAAGCUGUGGAUUGUCCUUUGGACAAUGGUAGGAGAGCGUUCUAAGGGCGUUGAAGCAUGAUCGUAAGGACAUGUGGAGCGCUUAGAAGUGAGAAUGCCGGUGUGAGUAGCGAAAGACGGGUGAGAAUCCCGUCCACCGAUUGACUAAGGUUUCCAGAGGAAGGCUCGUCCGCUCUGGGUUAGUCGGGUCCUAAGCUGAGGCCGACAGGCGUAGGCGAUGGAUAACAGGUUGAUAUUCCUGUACCACCUAUAAUCGUUUUAAUCGAUGGGGGGGACGCAGUAGGAUAGGCGAAGCGUGCGAUUGGAUUGCACGUCUAAGCAGUAAGGCUGAGUAUUAGGCAAAUCCGGUACUCAUUAAGGCUGAGCUGUGAUGGGGAGAAGACAUUGUGUCUUCGAGUCGUUGAUUUCACACUGCCGAGAAAAGCCUCUAGAUAGAAAAUAGGUGCCCGUACCGCAAACCGACACAGGUAGUCAAGAUGAGAAUUCUAAGGUGAGCGAGCGAACUCUCGUUAAGGAACUCGGCAAAAUGACCCCGUAACUUCGGGAGAAGGGGUGCUCUUUAGGGUUAACGCCCAGAAGAGCCGCAGUGAAUAGGCCCAAGCGACUGUUUAUCAAAAACACAGGUCUCUGCUAAACCGUAAGGUGAUGUAUAGGGGCUGACGCCUGCCCGGUGCUGGAAGGUUAAGAGGAGUGGUUAGCUUCUGCGAAGCUACGAAUCGAAGCCCCAGUAAACGGCGGCCGUAACUAUAACGGUCCUAAGGUAGCGAAAUUCCUUGUCGGGUAAGUUCCGACCCGCACGAAAGGCGUAACGAUUUGGGCACUGUCUCAACGAGAGACUCGGUGAAAUCAUAGUACCUGUGAAGAUGCAGGUUACCCGCGACAGGACGGAAAGACCCCGUGGAGCUUUACUGUAGCCUGAUAUUGAAAUUCGGCACAGCUUGUACAGGAUAGGUAGGAGCCUUUGAAACGUGAGCGCUAGCUUACGUGGAGGCGCUGGUGGGAUACUACCCUAGCUGUGUUGGCUUUCUAACCCGCACCACUUAUCGUGGUGGGAGACAGUGUCAGGCGGGCAGUUUGACUGGGGCGGUCGCCUCCUAAAAGGUAACGGAGGCGCUCAAAGGUUCCCUCAGAAUGGUUGGAAAUCAUUCAUAGAGUGUAAAGGCAUAAGGGAGCUUGACUGCGAGACCUACAAGUCGAGCAGGGUCGAAAGACGGACUUAGUGAUCCGGUGGUUCCGCAUGGAAGGGCCAUCGCUCAACGGAUAAAAGCUACCCCGGGGAUAACAGGCUUAUCUCCCCCAAGAGUUCACAUCGACGGGGAGGUUUGGCACCUCGAUGUCGGCUCAUCGCAUCCUGGGGCUGUAGUCGGUCCCAAGGGUUGGGCUGUUCGCCCAUUAAAGCGGUACGCGAGCUGGGUUCAGAACGUCGUGAGACAGUUCGGUCCCUAUCCGUCGUGGGCGUAGGAAAUUUGAGAGGAGCUGUCCUUAGUACGAGAGGACCGGGAUGGACAUACCUCUGGUGUACCAGUUGUCGUGCCAACGGCAUAGCUGGGUAGCUAUGUGUGGACGGGAUAAGUGCUGAAAGCAUCUAAGCAUGAAGCCCCCCUCAAGAUGAGAUUUCCCAACUUCGGUUAUAAGAUCCCUCAAAGAUGAUGAGGUUAAUAGGUUCGAGGUGGAAGCAUGGUGACAUGUGGAGCUGACGAAUACUAA